AGAGAGAGAGAGGACUGGAAAGAGCUGUGAACCAUAGAGAAAGAGACAAUAUAUAUAUUGGCUGGAUUUACUGUGUAUGAGCUGGACUGUUUUGGACUUACCUGUUGGCGUUUGGACCUGGACCUACCGAGAACCCGAUUCGUGUACCGAACCCUGCUAUUCUUGACCUUGCCUGCAGCCUGGGUGGACCAGGACAGAGAAACAAACACACAGGGGGCAUGAAGACAAGGGCUUUAAAGUGACAACAGCAGUGAAAAAAUGGUCUUGAACAGAUUCAAUCUGCUGAUGCCCAAAAUGUCCAGAAUUCAUGGAGAGUGCAAAGAGAGUGAUUGCGGUAGAGUGACGAGUCUGAUGAAGAGGUUUAUAAGUUGAUUAAAAUGAUUAAGCAUUUGAUAGGCUUACAAAACCUUAAAAUGUACUUUUAUGUUUGAUCCUUAAGUACAUUUUGUAGCAAAUAAUUUUGAGUUCAAGACUUCUUCAGUUGUACUCAGGCUGGGAAAUUAAAUCUAAACCUAGCGCUGUGACAUUGAACUGAGUGAAUGGAAUAUGAAUGACAGUCAUCCAAUAUGCUGUAAUAGAAAUAAGGCCAUGCUCAUGGAGAAAAAAAUAAUAAUCCUCCCUCAUCUUAAACGGCACUGACAUACACGUUUCCCGUUAUAAAUCAGACCAGUCAUAAAACUGUGCAAGUGAGAACGAGCAUUAUAACUCUGCCUGAAAAACACCCAUUAUUCACCUUACAUUGUGACAAUAAUGCCCUUAUUUGUUGUGUACCUUGGAAGUAUAGGAAUUAGGCAAAGACAGUAUCUAAAGGAAUUAGCAAUGGUGAACUUGAUCAAAUGUCUUUGGAGGGAAGUGUUGGCAGAUUUGUUCUUUUGUAGUGACAUUUGCUGUAUCUGACCAUUUCUGAAAGACAAAAACAAUU